GUCCCCCCUCUCCCCACAGGGGCACGCAGAGAUGUUCCAGCAGCCGCCCACUUCUGAGAGCGGCGUGGGGCUAUGGCUGGCAAGCAGGCAGCCUGCCUGAGCCCUGCUGCCCCACUGGCAGGGAGCCACCUGUGGAAGAAGACUUGUAUAUAUGGGCCCCACAAAAUCUAAUAGCCCUGGGCCCACAGGAGAGUUAAUCCAGCCCUGCUCUGGCAGGCAUUCAACUGAGGAACAGAGCACAGGGGAAAUGUAAGAGGACUGACAAUUUAAGAGCAAGGAGGGCAAAGAUAGCUAAAAUGGGGAACAGGAGGUGGUCACCUGUGCCAGUCACGGUCAGAUGUGAGACUAGAUCUGAGGAAUCAUGCUUUCCAGGCCCCUGCUCAAACUACUGAACACUCUCCUAUGUGAUGUAAUAGGACAACAUUUCCGUAUGGGAUAAAUGCAGCAUUUCUUUCCCUUUCAGCCUACUGUACAGCUCACCAUGUGUUUUUUUUUUUUUUUUUUUUAUUAACACAUCCAUUCCAUCUUGUCAGCAAAUAAAACUUUGUGGAUGUUCCAUGUGAGAACUUGUAUGUGAUCAGAAGUCUGCUUUCCCAUGCCUCCUCAUGCAUUUCCUAUGUAAAUAGCUCAGAUGGCUCACAAGUGGCUUAUUAAAUCCAGUAGUAAAACUUUGGCAAAGGGAGAGCACUUUGUUACCAAAAAAAUGUUUUCCCAUCAUCUCCAUUUGACACAACCUCUGAAGCAAAUGCUCAAAUGCAAUACUCCCCCUCUCCACCAACUACACUGUCAGUACUUUAAAAUGAGACAUCACCUACAAUAAAACAAAAUGGGGCAAAUUUCAUUCCAGCCAAGACUUCUCCUUCUUUGGCUCAAUGUGUAUUCAGUUCAUUUUAGAGCUAAAGGCUUGAGGAGGCUCAUGGAAAGGGGUUCUAGUUAAUCUGCAGGAUUUGUAUCUAGUGUGUGUACUGUGUCCUUGAUACAGGACUCUUUCCUUGGGCAAAACUCCUCUUGAUCUGAGUAAGAAAAGUGCACAAAUUGAGAUUGGACCCAAUCACAAUGUCUUCUCUGACCAGCUUAAACUUCUGUAGUAGAACUGAACUGACACAACCUUUGGCUUUCAUAGGUUCCUGCUACUUUGUGCUAUGGAAACUGGAAUAGAAGGAAAGGAAAUAAGGUUAGAAUAUAGAUUAAACAAAACCCCAUAAACCAAAAUCCCUGCCAAUUUGAGAGAGUUUAAGCUUAGACACAGACAAAACUUAAGAUUCUCUCAAGAAAGAGAUGGAUCUGGACCAGAACCCUAAGACAAGCAUACGUGAAUGUGUAGAUGGUAGGUUCGGAAUUUGACUCCAGAGUGAAAAUGGUGGAUGGCCCCUCCAUCAGCAAUGUCCAAUCCAAACAGUUUUGAACUUUGGGAGUAUUUGAGAUGUGGAUCCAGAAGUGAAUUCUUCCAGCAUGAGGCCAUCUCUGGGUUAUAUAUAUUUUUUUGGAUCAUUUAAUCCAAUUCAAUUUCCCCCCAACCUUCUAGAUAUGAAACAGGAGGAAAAAUAGAAUACAAGCUCUUGCUUGCUUUCUCUUCUUGUGGGACUGAACUUGCCAGAUGUGUUAGUGGAGACUGAGCAGUAUCUCCCAGGUCAACUCUGUAGACUGCAGGAUUGGGCCUAUCCACUAAUAUGCCAGUUAUAUCUAGGACUUUGAAAGUGCAAGCUUAUA